UCUCCGUAGGUGCACCUGCGGAGGGAUCAUUACUGAGUGAGGGUCUCCGGGCCCGACCUCCAACCCCAUGUGAACCGAAACCUGUUGCUUCGGGGGCGACCCUGCCUUUCGGCGCGGCGCCCCCGGAGGCUCAUCAAACACUGCAUCUUUGCGUCGGAGUCUUAAUGAAUUUAAACAAAACUUUCAACAACGGAUCUCUUGGUUCCAGCAUCGAUGAAGAACGCAGC
rnacentral:misc_RNA from 1 species